UACUGCGGCCAACUAUGAAAGCGAAC
rnacentral:piRNA from 1 species